GUUUUGACAUCCUCUAUAUGUUACAAAUUUUUUUUCCUUUGUUUUCUUGAGAGAAUAAUUACUUGCUACAUCUCUUGAAUUUAAUAUCACUGGCAUGUUUGAGUCAUGGAGCAUUAUGUUGUAGUGGGCAUUUGGGCUGAAUAUGUUCCAAAACUCUUAUGAAGUUAUAAUGCAUAGAACCUGAGAGAAAAUCAUUUGAAGUAUAUUUUCUAGGUAAAUACACCAAAUUAAAAACUUGAUGGUUGUUUUGCACAUUGUGAAAAGCUGAAUGCAAGUUCUCUAAGUUAAUAUAUUGCUGGGCUCCUGGGGAUAUCUUCUGCUGUAGCUUUGUUUCCUAUCCUUUAUUCGUUUUCCUCUGAACCACAUUAGUUGAGUAAUAUUUUCUAGUGUUUUGUGAUGGUAUAGAAAUAUUUGUAGUCUAGACUGCAUUUUUUAUUUUUACUGCAUCAAUGUCUAAGCAACAUCAAUUAAUAUACAUUUUCUCCAUUUCAGGGAGUAUCUAAUUGACUUGGUGGGGAAGUCAGGUUGUUUAUGUGAGCCUGAUUCAUUGCUU
rnacentral:misc_RNA from 1 species